rfam:Cavia porcellus supercont2_32 genomic scaffold, whole genome shotgun sequence.
GGGGAUUUAGCUCAGUGGCAUAAGCACCUGCCUUGUAAGCAGGCAGUUGUGAGUUCAAUCCCUG